ensembl:lncRNA
GUGGUAGCCAUGGCCAGAGUGCCUCACCCAGCCAGGGCAGGACAAAGGGAUAGCACAGUGGAGGUGGCUUUAAAUCAGGACCUGAAGAAGAGAAAUGAAAGACUGGGGAGUACUGCAGAGAAAACAGAACAUUGUUUUCUUUGAGACUUCAUUAUCAUCAAGACAUCAAGGAAAGCACCUGCAGUCCCUAAGCAGCCUUCACCUAGCCAAGGACACCCCACCCCCACCAGGGGAAGGAAGGCUGACUGACUGCUGCCCCUCAUCAUUGCUGCCUGCAUUGUGGGAGAACACAGGCUGGAUGAGUGGACCCUUUGAAGACACCACACUAUGCAAACCCUACCUGUGCAGACCAACAGCAGCAUGGGACUGCUUCUAAAUGCAGGGUCACACCCCACUGAAACCUGCAUUUCAAUGAGAUCCAAAUUGCGUGUGCUCCUUGGGGUUUGAAAGCUGUGGGCUAGAGCAUGUGUAUGCCCCCACUCCAACUGGAGGAAAAACCAAAUUCCCUACAGCUCUCAAUCAUAAGCCUGACCCCAUCGCAGUAAACAAUGCUGAUGGUGGAGAUGCCAGGCUGCCAGAGAUUAAGGGAAAUGCCACUGUUUUCCUCAGCAUGUAAGAAGCAAAGCUGAUCAGCCUGAUUCCCGUAGAUGCUGUGGAUUCCCUGGAAGCACACAGGAGGUGAGCUGCUCCCAGUGCACAAGAGGAGGCUUCCAGACCGCCAUACCACCCCCGUCAUUACACAAGAGUAUAAUAUUUUAGUGUUAUGGCUGACCAUGAGAAGUGAAGCCAGAGAAGAGGGGACUAUUAUAUUCCAUGCCAAAGAACAGACAAG